AUGACCACCUCCACCUACCACCGCCACCACCGCUGCCGGCGCGCCCCGUCGCGGUCGCCCCCACCCCCGCCGCAGCCACCAGACUCCACGCCUGUCGCCUCCACCACCUCGCCCACACCUCUCGCCCCGUCCCCACCCCGAGCAGAUGGGGAGGAGCAGCAGAGUCACAGAUCUGAGGCGCCAUGGCGGAGAGGAGGGGAUCUCGCCGGAGGAGAGGGCGAUGGAGGAGGAGCACCGCGAGAGGAUGACGAGGCGGAUGCGACGACCAGGGAGCAGAGACUCGCUGGUAAAGUUAGUUACAAGGAUUUGCGUGGACGCGUCGGAAGGGGAGAUGGCCCGCAUCCUGCGCACGCUGGAUCCCUCGCCGGAGGAGGUGGUCGCCUGGGCGCGGGCAGAGGUAACUUCGCACCUGCCGGAGCAACGAGCGAAGUGGAGAGCGUUCUGGUCGUUGCAGAACCCGCUCCCAUGACGCAUUUGCUUCGGAGCUGCGACACAACUCUGCCCCGGUCCCCAAGUUCGUCUGGAGAUAGUUCAAGCUUCGAUUUCGCGACACCGCUUCGAUGGGCGGGGGAGCACUCUGCUCGCCGACGUAUUGAUUUCUCCGAGGUGCGACAAGCUAUUCGGCCGCCGGAGUCGAGAUUUGGUCGCCGUGUUUUUGAACCUGUGGUCACGGUGGGGGAUUUCCACUGUUUCGCUGUCAAGAUGGUCCCACAUGGCAGCGAACGUGGUAACAGGGCCACAGGCCUGGCUGACCUGGAAGUGGGGACGAAGGAGGAAGACGACCCCGCAGCGAGAGAGCACCUUGGGCAGCUGUGGGGCGUGGAAAAGGAAAUCCUCACCAAACCCCGUCCUCUCCUGGUCUGGAUCAAGAAGAGUCGCCUCCGUGAGCGCAACCACUCCUCCCGUCCCCUUGCCAUCGACGACUGCCACCCCGCCGCUGCAUCUGACCUGGUUGAUCUGCCGGAUCUUGCUGCUGAAGCCGCCCGUGUUGAGAUCGACCCUGGGCUUCGUUCAGAGAUCAGGGCCAUGGCUGAUAACCAAGGGAGGGGCAGAGGAAGAGGGGGGGAGGAAACCCUAGAGGCAAGCAGGCGGACCCUCCACCCGCAGGUAACUGGCCCCAAUUCGAUCCCCAAUUCGCUUCACCGCCUCCUCAGUUCCAGUACGGCUUUGGUUUCCCUGGGGGGCGCAGAUCCCACCUCCAUGGUACCCAGGUGCCUACUUCCCUCCCCCUCCACAGCAGAUGAAUCAAUGGCGGGGAGGGCCAGGGCCCUGGGGAGGAAAUCAACUCCAAGAUCAAGGAGCGCCUGA
rnacentral:rRNA from 1 species